rnacentral:rRNA from 1 species
GACGAACGCUGGCGGCGUGCUUAACACAUGCAAGUCGAACGAAGAGCGAUGGAAGCUUGCUUCUAUCAAUCUUAGUGGCGAACGGGUGAGUAACGCGUAAUCAACCUGCCCUUCAGAGGGGGACAACAGUUGGAAACGACUGCUAAUACCGCAUACGAUCUAAUCUCGGCAUCGAGGAUAGAUGAAAGGUGGCCUCUACAUGUAAGCUAUCACUGAAGGAGGGGAUUGCGUCUGAUUAGCUAGUUGGAGGGGUAACGGCCAACCAAGGCGAUGAUCAGUAGCCGGUCUGAGAGGAUGAACGGCCACAUUGGGACUGAGACACGGCCCAGACUCCUACGGGAGGCAGCAGUGGGGAAUCUUCCGCAAUGGACGAAAGUCUGACGGAGCAACGCCGCGUGAGCGAUGACGGCCUUCGGGUUGUAAAGCUCUGUUAAUCGGGACGAAAGGCCUUCUUGCGAAUAGUGAGAAGGAUUGACGGUACCGGAAUAGAAAGCCACGGCUAACUACGUG